rnacentral:rRNA from 1 species
UCCUGGCUCAGGAUGAACGCUAGCGGCAGGCUUAACACAUGCAAGUCGAGGGGUAUAUGUCUUCGGAUAUAGAGACCGGCGCACGGGUGCGUAACGCGUAUGCAAUCUACCUUUUACAGGGGAAUAGCCCAGAGAAAUUUGGAUUAAUGCCCCAUAGUAUAAUUGAAUGGCAUCAUUUAAUUAUUAAAGUCACAACGGUAAAAGAUGAGCAUGCGUCCCAUUAGUUAGUUGGUAAGGUAACGGCUUACCAAGACAAUGAUGGGUAGGGGUCCUGAGAGGGAGAUCCCCCACACUGGUACUGAGACACGGACCAGACUCCUACGGGAGGCAGCAGUGAGGAAUAUUGGACAAUGGGCGCAAGCCUGAUCCAGCCAUGCCGCGUGCAGGAAGACGGUCCUAUGGAUUGUAAACUGCUUUUAUACAGGAAGAAACACUCCGACGUGUCGGAGCUUGACGGUACUGUAGGAAUAAGGAUCGGCUAACUCCGUG